CGGACGGGUGAGUAAUGUCUGGGAAACUGCCUGAUGGAGGGGGAUAACUACUGGAAACGGUAGCUAAUACCGCAUAACGUCGCAAGACCAAAGAGGGGGACCUUUGGGCCUCUUGCCAUCGGAUGUGCCCAGAUGGGAUUAGCUAGUAGGUGGGGUAAUGGCUCACCUAGGCGACGAUCCCUAGCUGGUCUGAGAGGAUGACCAGCCACACUGGAACUGAGACACGGUCCAG
rnacentral:rRNA from 1 species